rnacentral:rRNA from 1 species
GAUGAACGCUGGCGGCGUGCCUAAUACAUGCAAGUCGAGCGAACGGACGAGAAGCUUGCUUUUCUGAUGUUAGCGGCGGACGGGUGAGUAACACGUGGAUAACCUACCUAUAAGACUGGGAUAACUUCGGGAAACCGGAGCUAAUACCGGAUAAUAUUUUGAACCGCAUGGUUCAAAAGUGAAAGACGGUCUUGCUGUCACUUAUAGAUGGAUCCGCGCUGCAUUAGCUAGUUGGUAAGGUAACGGCUUACCAAGGCAACGAUGCAUAGCCGACCUGAGAGGGGGAUCGGCCACACUGGAACUGAGACACGGUCCAGACUCCUACGGGAGGCAGCAGUAGGGAAUCUUCCGCAAUGGGCGAAAGCCUGACGGAGCAACGCCGCGGGAGUGAUGAAGGUCUUCGGAUCGUAAAACUCUGUUAUUAGGGAAGAACAUAUGUGUAAGUAACUGUGCACAUCUUGACGGUACCUAAUCAGAAAGCCACGGCUAACUACGUG